ensembl:lncRNA
AUCAGGAGGAGAGCCUCCCCAGUAUCAUUAAUCCUGUCUCACUCAGUGCUGUUCACAGUGUCAAACACUUCAGUAGCUACUACAGUAACUGAAUGGGCUUCUGAUCCAGUUUCUCUUUGUGUUGGACUCCUAGAUCCAGAUCCUCCUCACAUCAGGAAAAGAGACAGUAAUGAGUUGAUUCCUCCAGACAUGGGAGGAGAGAGUCCUGCAGAUGAUCCAGACCCUCCUCACAUCAGGAAAAGAGACAGUAAUGAGUUGAUUCCUCCAGACAUGAGAGGAGAGAGUCCUGCAGAUGGUGAGUAUGAGAAAUGCAAACCUAAUACACUCUAGAAACUAAACCCGCUGUCCAGCAUUUGAAACUCAUAGCUUUAACAUUGUAGCUAAAUGCCUGUGUGUGUGUGUGUGUAAUAGCUUUACCACUGUAGUUAAAUGGGCUUCUGAUCCAGUUUCUCUUUGUGUUGGACUCCUAGAUCCAGAUCCUCCUCACAUCAGGAAAAGAGACAGUAAUGAGUUGAUUCCUCCAGACAUGGGAGGAGAGAGUCCUGCAGAUGGUGAGUAUGAGAAAUGCCAACCUAAUACACUCUGGAAACUAAACCCGCUGUCCAGCAUGU